ensembl:lncRNA
GACAGAAUUUGGAGGUGAGCGGCGGCAGUUGCACUUCCAAAGUCAUCGAAGGAGAAAAUAACUAGGUGUAUUAAUGGAGUUGAUUAUGUUGCUGGAAUAUUCAUUAAAAUUAGGGAUAUUUGCACAACCGCACACCAUUUCACUCUUAAGGAAAUUCAAAAUCUCUGAGUACUGACUACACCAACACGCUGUGCUCAUUGCUGCGUGUGCACGAGGGUGAUGGUGCCAGAACAAAGAGCGUGAUUUCUUGCAUCUAAACACGUUUAUCCUGGUGCCUACUUUACCCACAAUGCAACUGAACCACUGACUGAUUGUUGACUAGAGCUGCCUCAGGCAGAGAUGAGGAGGAGGCCACAGAGGUCAGGUGAUCUGACCUGAUCCAGGAACCAGUCGGGUCGACUGCCGGAGCCAUCGAUGCGAAGCCUCAUUUUCCUCAGUGGAGCGACGUCAUCGAUCUCCAUGUUGAAAGUGUCCUCCUGACCGCGCUCGAACCUGUUGUGGAACACAUAGAGGACACAGAGUUUAUGAGGUGCAGUGUAAGAAGACUGUUUCUCCACAAUGCUUUUUUUCCAUGAAGGGCUACCUGUCCUCAUUCUUCUGCAGCAGCAUCUCCUCCGUGCUGCCGUUGGCUCCGAAUACAGACAUGAAGAUCAGGGUGUCUGUUCCUGCGUCCUGCACGUCCCCCGUUACUACGCAACAGACAGCUCAUCAACCAGCCAGCAGCUCUCAGGAGUGGCCCCGUCAUGACCUAGCUGCAGGCACCACGGGCAACAAUCACUACCAGAAACGUGGGUUCCCGUCUCGGGAGAGCUUCUCGGUGAUGAUGUCCGAGGGCACCAGCUCUCGCACGGUUUCUCCGUCGUCCUCCGACUUGGCGAGCCAACAUUCGCACGGGAAGAUGACGGUCUCCGAGCCCUACAGAGAGAGGAGGGCCGAUUCAUUUGUGUGUUCUUGCAAACAGUGGACGUGAUGUUCAGCUCUGAAAUCGCUGUGCUUGUUUAACCGCAUCUAUCUGUGCAGAGAACAUCACCACCUGCUGACCGAAAAUGGUGGUUGAGGGUCACCAGUGGAUGUGUUGACGUCUGAUCUCCACUCGGUCCAGGUGCCAGCCCGGGUUGACCCCCCGGUUGUCAUGGCCGAUCCGGAUCUUUUCAAUUACAUCCCCCACAUCUUCUAGCUGCGCAGAAAGCAGAAAUAAACGACCUGAAUGCAUUGAAUUCAGCCUGAAGUGAUGCCUUUGCUGUUCUCCAA